rnacentral:rRNA from 1 species
UGGGGAAUUUUCCGCAAUGGGCGAAAGCCUGACGGAGCAACGCCGCGUGUGGGAAGAAGGCUUUUGGGCUGUCAACCACUUUUCUCAGGGAAGAAACUCUGACGGUACCUGAGGAAUCAGCCUCGGCUAACUCCGUGCCAACAGCCGCGGUAAUACGGAGGAGGCAAGCGGGAUCGGGAAUAAUUGGGAGCAAAGCUCGGGCAGGGGGCGCAUAAAGUGUGCUGAUAAGGGCUGGCGCUGAACACCGGG